GCCAAAAAAAUAAAAACACAUAAAAGACAAAACCGAAAAGGAAAUAAAGGAAAAGAAAUAAACUAAACUUCAUAUCUCCAACAAUGGAGAAAAUCCAAAAACUUCUCCGACCCAUCGUCUUCCUCUCUAUCUCCGGCCAUUGAAGAUGACCUCAAUCUCAACAGCUUAAGGGUCCGAUGCAGAUGAUGAAAAAGGGACGACUUCCUUCAUCUUAGCAAAGUGCAGAGCUGAUGGAAAACGAGCUUGGAUAGACUACAUCUUAGGUGCUAAAAAUUCUCACUAGCGCAAUGAAAUCUUGUCUAGUGUAGACUUCGUCAACUAGUUUUAGCUUAGAUUUGCUUCGGCAAGAUGAAGUGAACCCCUACUAAUGCAUUGACGGAUCUUCAAAAUUAUUCAAGCAUACUCUCCGAUAAGUGACUCCUACCCUUUCACACCUUAUGAACUUGUACUUUCCCUAAGUCUUUGGAAUCUGACAGAUUGAUCUCCUAUGGAACUGAUACCACUGCCUAAAUUCCUUCGAUUUAAGGUCCAUACUAUUCUAUGUUGGUAGAUGUAUUGACAUACUAUUUGCCUUUGUUUCCUUGCCUCCACAUGAUACACUAUAUUCCUUUAUUGCUUUACAGAGCAAAGGAUUUGUUCUGUACUUUAGUAAUUCGUAUGUUUGGAACUUGUUGUGCAUCUAGUAAUAUUAGUGCCUUCCCUUCUCUCGGAAUCUUCUGAAAUGAAUUGAAUAUUUUAACCUCAGUUUCUACAAAAAAGAAGAUUAUGUUAGUGAAAAAAUCAGCCACUAUGUUACGCUCCCUCUUCACUUGCUUCACCUCCACAUUUCCAUUUCUCAUCAACCACUUAAUCUUCUUAAUGAGCAGACUGAUGCACCAGGGACUUCCCAUGUUACAUCCAAUAUUUUUGCCAGAGUGAGUGAGUCAGUUUCCAGCAUGACAAGGGUUAACUAUUGAGCCAAAUAGUAUUGUAAACCUUUCUCCAAAGACGUAGCCUCAGCCUCCAAGCUAGUUUUAACCCCCAAAUUAUGAGUUUCUACAUAAAUGAAUUCACCAUUCCAGUUCCUAAUACAAAAUUCCCCAGCACUUGGACCUGGAUUUCCUUUAGAAGCUUCAUCUGAGUUACACUUAUAGCAUCCUACAUUAGGAGCCUUCCAAUAGAUCACCUUUGGAACGAUACAUGGCUUAUACACUUCUAGAAAUCUAACCAAACUAGGUCAUUCCUUUGGGAUAUUUCUAAGCCAAGGAUAUCCAAUAGUGGCAAGUUGAUAAAGAUUCUGGUUUAUUUCAGACAACAUACUAUAGACAUACAUCUUAUACCCAUGUUUCAAUUUGUUCCCCCUCUUCCAGAUUUUCCACCAGAUCAUCCUAGGGAUAACAUUAAAAAAGGUUUCAGCUUAGGUACACAAUCAACCUUCCACCAUUUAUAAAUUGUGUCCUUAAGUUGGAUAAAAGGUCCAUCAACCCCAACACUAGCAAACAUUUUCCAUAGCUUCUUUGCACUUGGACAUAUUACAACAGGUGUUGAUAACUCUCAUUAGCCAUUAGGUUACAACAACACUGCACCUCCUCUGCAAUAUCCAUCCUGAUUAAAACUUCACCUAUGGAAAGUCUCUUUUUUUACUAACCUCAAGAAAAAGAGAGAAAUUUUGAAAGGAACUCCUUUUUCCAAAUAUUCAGAUAUUCUUCCUGUUCAAUCAUUGGAGUCCUCAAAGCAUUCCAUACUGAUUUGACCGAAAACUUGCCAGAAGAGUUUAGCAUCCAGUAUGGCUGAUCCCUUUCACCAGAUUCUUGCACUAUACUAAUCUGGCUAGUGUCAGGACCCGACCUAAGACCUAGUCAUAACACGACGAUCGAAAUCCCGAAGGGGCUCCAACCAAGCCUUUUGUCAUAUCACGCGACAUACAUAAGGUAAAAUAGAUGCGGAAAGAUCAUAAGAGAGUCUAGAAUAUGAAACAUAAUGAAGAAUGUCACUUGACAACAUAAACUCAAAACAUUUGUCUAACUAGAUGCCCCUACUCAUGAAUAUGGGCGGGGCCAAGACAUUCCCUAGCUUACCCUCAUAGUAAAGAAAGAAAUGUCUUUUGAAAGUAAGAAAACAACAACUCAAAGCUAGUCCUCGAUAGAUGUGGACUCACCACAACUCCUUUGAUAAGCAAGCCCAACUAGCCACGUGGAUGAAUACAAUACUCAAUCUCAACCCCUAUAUUAUGAGAUAAUGUAGGCAACAAUAUGCAUUAGUAUGUUUGAAUGUACUAAGUAUGUGGGCAUGAUAUGCAAUAUAAAUCAUAAGAUGCAAUGAUUUAGAAUAUGCAUGAUAAAGAGGAUAAGUAAAACCAUGAGGAAUACUAUAAUGAUCAAAGCAUUUAACAGACGUAACCGAAGAUCAUACAAUAACAUAAUACUCAUAUACAUAUGUAGGAUAGAAAUAAUAACCGACAAUAAGACCAUGCGUGCUAUAACAUGAAAUCCCGAUAUUACCCCUAACAUGGAAUCCCAAUGUUACCCCUACAUCAGAAGAAAUCUACUUACCAAGGUAGACUCUACCCCGCUAGGCGGGUGAUGUACUAUAUGGAUCCAAUAACUAAGCCAUAAGACAACCUACGAUGGCACAUAAUUUAUGAGACAUGAGGUUGCUACUAAGGCUUUUGGUAGGGUCCCCACCUCAAGUCCACUCGGUGCUAAGUCAAAUUCAAGAAAUACAUAAUAUAGGAAAAAUACUUAGCAUAUAUCAUAACUUGUUCAUAAACUUCCUAAUUCAUUGAAUAGCUCAUUUCAUUACAUAAUUGCAAUGUGAGAAUUGACCUUUCACAUUACAAUUCAUACAUACAUAAUUCAUAUCAUUAGGUCCUACGUCACCACAUAGGGCCCUAAGUCACCUAUCUUCAUGAGGAUUAUAACUAGAUCAUAAUUCAUACUUUAAUUUAGACUAAAACUCAUAUACAUAAUGAAUUUGAUUGAAAACUAUAAGGAUACCUUGAAAACAUUGGACUCCUUGGACAUAAUGCAUGUAAUUCAUCAUAGGAAAUAGCUUUAUGCAUAGGCUUUCAUAAUCUGAAAUCAUGUAAUUUACGUAGAAACAUACUCAUAAUUAUAAUAAACAAUGAUUUAAAAUAAAAUUGAAGCAGCCCAACAUAAUUCAUCAAAAUUGAAGUUCAAAAGUAAUGAGAUUUUGAGAUUUAAACCUUGGACUUCAUGAGUGGAAGGGACUCAUGAAUCAAUCCACACAUACCUGCAUUGAGAUUAAACUUGAAUUUUAGAAAGGAGUCUUGAUCUUGAAGAAACCCUAAUGGAAGUUUGAUGAACUCUUGAGGAACCUUGGGAGAGAAGUCUAGAAUUUGUUUGGGAAAUAAUGAGGGAAAAUAAAGAGGAGUAUCUAGGAUCUAAUUCGUAAUGAAUCUAGUCCUUAAAAACAUCCACAUACAUUAUUAGAAUGUAGGGAAAAUACAAAACUACCCCUCCUUAAAAUUCCAAUCGGGCAAUCCUACGACUUAAGUCUACGGGUCGUUAGUAUGGUGACGAGUCAUCUUUACGGCUCGUCCUGUAGGUCUUGAGAAAGGCCUAAAAAUCGAGCCUCAGUACUUUUAUUACAAGCCGUGUUUGCGACUCAUCGUCGUCUUUACGGGUCGUCAAAGGGGUCCGUCUUGCAUGUCUAAAAUCCUGCAAGUUGGAUAGAGUCUGAAGUUUCAUCACGACUUGUUUCUACGGGUCGUAAGCUUCUCUACGACUCGUCCUGCCAAGUCAUAGACAAAGUCCUGAGGGUGACACCUGUAGGUCAUCCUACCUUGCCUUGAUGACUUAUUUCUAUGAGUCGUCAUUUUCUCUACGAGUGUCAAUGGACUUGUCAACCCAACUUUUGCCUUCGCCAAAUUUCCAAUUACCUUUUACGACCCGUAAUAACGUAUACGAAUCGUAGAUUGACUCAUGGACUUGGGUUAGUUUCAAACUCCUUUGAAAGAAAAAUUUUCUUUCGUUUGUCUUUUCGUAUUAUGGGGUUUACAAUAUCUUCCCCUUAGGAACAUUCGUCCUCGAAUGAGAUUCAACUAGCAUAGAAAAUGAUAUGAAAAGAGGACUAGCAACCCAACAUGAAUAUAGGUACAUCUUUAAAAUGCAUAAAACAUGUAAACAUCAUACUUAUCAUAAAACAUGGUUUCUAAAACUUUAUUUUCAUGAGCAUGCAUGCAUAUGAAUGACAUAUGGAACUUAAACGUACGAGUUUAAUCGAUUUGAUCAUGAACAACUUAGUACCUUUAGGAUUGAGUGGAAGGAAAUAGAUAUAGAUAACGCUUCAUCAUGUCCACUUACGCUUCCCACAUAGUACUCUCUACUUGUUGAUUCCUCCACAAUACCUUGACGGACACAAAAUCUUUAUUCCUCUUCACUUGUCGGUCUAAGAUUUCCACCAGAACUUCCUCAUAAGUCAAAUUCUCUUCAAUGUUCACAAUUUCCAAAGGCACAGUGGAGUUUGGAUCAUCCACAAUUUUUCUCCACAUUGAUGCAUGAAAUACCAGAUGAACCAUACCCAACUCAAAUGGCAAAUCUAACUCAUAUGCCACUUUACCAACACGCUUCAAUAUUUUAUAGGGUCCUACAUAUCUAGGACUCAACUUUCCUUUCCUCCCAAAUCGUGUUACACCUUUCAUAGGUGAAACCUUUAUAUACACCCAAUCAUCCACAUUAAAUUCAAGCUCUCUCCUCCUAGUGUCCGAAUAGGACUUUUGACGACUUUGAGCCGUCUUCAAUCGUUCUCUUAUGAGACUUUAAUUUCACAUAGCAUCAACCACCAAAUCGAUACCAAUUAAUGCCAUUUCACCCACUUCAAACCAUCCUACCGAAGAUCUACAUCUUCUCUUAUACAAGGCUUCAAAAAGAGCCAUUUGGAUGCUAGAGUGAUAACUAUUAUUAUUAUAGGCGAACUCGAUUAAUGGCAAAUGCUCAUUCCAACUUCCUUUCAGAUCAAUCACACAUACUCAUAACAUAUACUCCAAAGUUUGGAUCGUUCUUUUAACUUGUCCAUCGAUUUGAGGAUGAAAAAUGGUACUUAGCUUAACUUUAGUAUGAAGACCUUUUUGGAAUGAAUUUCAAAAAUAUGAAGUAAAUUGAGUACCUUUAUCCGAUAUAAUCGACAAAGGAACACUAUGAAGUUUCACAAGUUCACGAAUGUAUAACCAAGCAUAAUCUUCAGCACCAUAAAAAGUCUUAACCAGUAGAAAAUGUGCCGACUUAGUCAUUCAAUCCACAAUGACCUAAAUAGAAUCAUGUUAUCUUCUAGUGCGAGGCAAACCCGUUACAAAGUCCAUAUUCACAUCUUCCCACUUCCAAGUAGGAAUCUCUAUGUUUUGAUCUAAACCUCCCGGUCUUUGAUGCCCAACUUUAACUUGUUGACAAUUAUGACACUUAGCCACAAACUCCUCUAUGUCAUUAUUUAUGCCAUUCUACCAAUACACCUCCCUCAAAUCAUGAUACAUCUUGGUGGAUCUCGGAUGAAUUGAAUACUGAGAGCUAUGGGUAUCAUUCAAUAUUAACUCUCUAAUCCAUAAACAUUAGGAACACACAAAUGUCCUUGAUAACGUAGUACCUCAUGUCCCUCUUAGAGAAAGACUCAAUGGCUUUUUCGGCAAUCGACUUCUUCAAUUCAAUCAACACCGGAUCAUUGUCUUGUUUGGCUUUAACAUCCGCCACAAAAGACGAAUCCGAGCCAUUAUAUACUAGGACACCUCCAUCAUUGGAGUCAACCAAAUGCACACCUAAACGUGCCAAUUGAUGGACGUCUUUAACCAACUCCUUCUUACCUUCCUCAACAUAUACAACACUACCCAUGGACAACCGACUAAGAGCAUCGGCUACAACGUUUGCCUUACUCGGAUGGUACAAUGCACUUAUGUCAUAGUCUUUUAGAUUUUUAAGCCAUCUUCUUUGCCUAAGGUUCAAGUCCCUUUGGCUAAACACAUAUUGCAAACUCUUAUGGUCAGUGAACACAUCAACAUGCACCCCAAAAGAUAGUGAUGCCAUGUUUUCAAAGAAAACACAACUACUGUAAGUUCAAAACGAUGGGUUGGAUAGUUCCUUUCAUGUAUCUUAAGCUGCCUAGAAGCAUAGGCUAUCACCUUACCAUAUUUCAUUAAGACACAACCCAAUCCAACACGUGAGGCAUCACAAUAAACCACAAACCCAUCUGAACCUUCUAGUAGUGUCAAAAUAUAAGACAUUGUGAGAUGAUUCUUCAAUAUUUAGAAGAUCUUUUCACAUUCAUCUGACCAUUGAAAUUUCACCUUCAUGUGGAUUAACUUAGUCAAAGGAGAAGUAAUAGAUGAAAAUCCUUCAACAAAUCUUUUAUAGUACCCGGCUAGACCCAAGAAACUUCUAAUAUCCGAAGGGGAUAAUGGUCUAGGUCAAUUCUUAACCGCCUCUAUUUUUCUUUGAAUCUACUUUAAUCCCAUCACCGGACACCACAUGGCCAUGAAAUACAACUUCCCUUAGCCAAAACUCGCACUUACUAAAUUUGGCAAAUAAUUGCUUCUCCCUCAAUGUUUGCAACACAAUUCUUAAGUUACCCAUAUGAUCUUCUUCAUUUCGAGAAUAAACCAAAAUGUCAUCAAUAAACAUCACCAUAAACAUGUCCAAGUAUGGUUUGAAAAUACAAUUCAUCUAGUCCAUGAAGAUAGCGGGAGCAUUAGUCAAACCAAACGACAUUACUACAAAUUCAAAAUGAUCAAACCUUGUUCGAAAUAUCAUUUUGGAAAUAUCACACUACCUUACCUUUAAUUGAUGAUAACCAGAUCGAAUAUCAAUCUUAGAAAAGUAACUUGCUCCUUGUAAUUGGUCAAAUAAGUCAUCUAUCCUUAGAAUUGGAUAUUUGUUCUUUAUGGUGACCUUAUUCAAUUGUCGGUAGUCUAUGCACAUUUGGAGUGACCCAUCUUUCUUCCUAUCAAACAAUAUGGGAGCACCCCACGGUGAAAUACUUGGCCUUAUAAAACCCUUAUCCAACAAAUUCUUCAAUUUCUCUUUCAACUCCUUAAGUUCUACUGGAGCCAUAUGGUAAGGAGGAAUAGAAAUAGGUUAGGUAUCAGGAAGGAGAUCUAUACCAAAGUUAAUUUUUCUUUCGGGAGAAAUACCGGGCAAAUCAUCGGGAAACACAUCAGGAAAUUCAUUUACUAUAGGGACCAACUCAAGAGUAGGAGUUUUGGAAUCAAUAUCCCUAACUCGCACAAUAUGAUAAAUGCACCAUUUGGAAAUCAAUUUCCAGGCCUUAAUACAUGAGAUGAAUCAUCCCUUAACCACGAAUCAUUACCCUUCCAUUCAAGGAUAGGGUCGUUAGGAAAAUGAAACUUAACCACACGAGUCCUACAACAUAUAGAUGCAUAAGUGGCAUGUAACCAAUUCAUACCAAGAGUGAUGUCAAAAUCGGUCAUGUAAAGUUCAACAAGAUCACAUGAAAUAAGUUUGUGCAAGACCGACUUGGGACAAUUUCUAUAAGCUCGCUUGGCUAAUAUCGAAUCACCCAUGGGAGUAUAAACCAAAAAAGGUUCUAAAAACACAUUGGGGAAUAGAUUAAAUCUCAUAGCCAGGUAAGGAGUAACAAAAGACAAGUUGGCACUCGGAUCAACCAAUGUAUAAACAUCAAAGUUAAAGAUCCAUAAUAUAACCAUGACUACAUCAAGAGUCUCAUCCACAUCUUGCCUAGCAUGAAGAGCAUAUAAUCGGUUGUUGUGUUGGCCACCCUUAGGUUGAGCUUGGGGCGCCUUGUUGCACUUGGCCUCCUUGUGGACGACUUUCUCUACCUUUGUUAGUGAUAUAAGGGACUCAGAUUGCUUAUGACCCGCCUUGCCACACCCAUCAUAAGCACCCGUUCCCAUAAAGCAUUUCCUUCCAUGAUUCUUUCCACACUUUUCACAUUUAUAAAAAGAAGGGCUACUAGCAAUCAUACCUAUCCUCCUUGAGCUUUAGGGUAUGGGACCCUAUCCUUAGCAAACUUCUUCCCCGAACCUUGGACUUGUUAAGAGUGGCCAUUACUACCACCACCGGUCCUGGUAUUAGAGCACCUACCUUCAUACCCGACCCUCUUAGAAUCCUUCAUUCUCAUCUCAUUGAGCUUUUCUCCAUUAAUUUGUUCAGCGAAAGUCAUGAAACGAGAUAUGUCCAUUUCUUUCACAAGCAUGGCUAUAUGACAUUCUUUAGCAACCAAGUCGGACACCCCCAAUAUAAAUUGACUAAUUGGGGCACGUAGAUCGGCAAUCAAUGAAGGAGCAUACUUGGAUAGCUUAGUAAACUUGAGGGCAUAUUCCUUCAUUCCCAUAUUGCCUUGUCGAAGAUUUAUUAACUGUUACACCCCACACUCUUAAGCUCGGAAUGCCUUCUAAGCUUAUUAGAAGUUAUCAUGUGAGACGCAUAAGCUACGACACUAUCAAACAACUCUAAGGAAAGGCAAUAUGAUACCCCAUAGUAGGAAAUGUUGGAAAUAGGGUCAUGAAAAGUCGGAAGGAGUUGGAGGCCAAGUAAUGAGUCAUAGGACAUGACUUACGUGUGUAAGCCAUCACCUCGGAGGUCUUAUAUACUUAAGAUACUUGAGUACACAUCGAGCUUACAUAGAAAGGAUUACAUAGGUCCUUAAAAUAAGACGAGAUUACGAACCCACGAAGAAGAAGUAAGCAAGUGAUUCACCUACUUGGAUUAAGUAGGUGAUGCACCUACUUGACACAUGGCAGCACGUGAGAGGUACACAUGGCAGCGAGAGGGGGCAACACGUGGCAACAAGAGAAGGCGCCACGUGGAAACCUAGGAAGGUGACACGUGACAGUAGGUGAUCCACUUACUUGGGGGUGGUCCCUACUAAGGACACGUGGCAACCCCUAAUUGGUUGCAUGGUUACAUUGGUCCAAUAAGGGUUAGACACGUGUCACCCUAUGGGAAUGACAUGUGUCACCUCCUAAGACAAUCUAUAUAUGUAUGUAUUGUGACUAAGUACUUCAGUUCUCAGCCAAAACUUCAGCCAAAGAGCAAGAAACAAAAGAAACGUAGAGAGGAAAAAGAAGGCAGCCAUGGUUUGGAGAUUUCAAAGUAAGUUCUAAUUUUCCUCCGUAAAUUAAUUAUCUACGGUGUUCCUCAAUAAUGUGGAGGUGUAUAUAUGUAUUUUAUGAUGCCUACGGAACCAUGUCUUCAGCCCUACACUUGGAAAAGAUAGGAGAAAGUUGAUGAGAAAAAUGCUAGGGGCAAGAAAGGAGGGCUACGGGUUUGGCCACUUUAAGGUGAGCCUCCGACUUUCGUUUCGUGAAUUAAUUAUUUAAGGUGUCCCAUUGUUAUAUAAUGGUGUUUGAUAACAUAAAAUUCCAAUUCGGGACAACGAGGAAGCGAUACAAAUAGUCUGCUAAAGUUUCAGCACGACAAGGAACUUCCGAGGCUAGUUUGGCGAGUUUUGGCCAAUUUCAGGUAAGGUAAGACCUAUCCUUUCAAUUUGGAGUUUAUGGUGUUGUUAUGAAGUGUGUUAAAUGUUGUGUAAGUGUUUGGAAAUAUGAAAAUCCAAUAAAUAUGCUUGACGUUCGAAACAAACUAAAUUGGAGUCUCUAUAAUUAAAUUGUAGUUGAAGCAAGGUGUUGUGCUUGUGGUGUGCUGCUGCAGGUGUGUGGUGGUGUAUUGCAGGGCAUAAAAUUAUUCUAAAAGAGGUGUGGGGGAUGUUGGUUUCAGCCACACGACCCCUCAUUUCGUAUAAUCAAAGGUUUUGCGAAAUAAAGACUAGAAAUCCUAUUUUGGUAUCGUAAUUUUCAGCAAGUUGUUUGGAGCUUAUGUUAUGUAAUGUUGCCAUGUUUUAUUUGUAUAUGAGCUGUAGGUUGUUGUUUUUAGUUGUCUGUAGUGAUUAGGGAUCUAAUUGGAAAUUCGGAUAGGGCAUGUUAUAGGGGAGGUGUUGUCCGAUUUUCGUUAACUCCUUAACUAGCUAAAGAACUAGUCGAGAAGACAAACGAGGAAAUGAGUUCUAUGAAUACUCGUGUGCAACUUAAGAUGCUGAAAAUUCAGGGAUGGUUUGUAUUCGUAUUGCUUCCAUGUUGAAUAGGUUCAAAGGACGACGAGACGAAUGUGAUAAAGAGUAACUCGUAAGAGGUAUGCGAAGCUUUCUCUUGGCAUAUUUUUGGCAUAGGUAUGUAAAACUAUCUUUAUUUCCUUUUGGCAUGUCUUAGCCUUAAGUGAAUUGUAUGUGAAAUGAGGGGAUAAUUCCAUUCCCAGAACUCCAAGUACAUCUCAUAAUCCCUAUCCACUGCUUGGUAUUGGAAUUCCUGCAAGAAUUGAGUAUUGCCUGUUAAGGCUUCUACGUGUUAAAAAGUAGUGUGUGGAAAGCUAUCUCUCCUUUCUCUUGAUAUGUACUUGGUAUGAAAAUGAGAUUAUAAUGCCAUAGUUGUUCACCAAGCUCCAGGAUGGGCCGGGUACGAAAUAUAUACAUAAUGACCACAAGAAGGAAAGUACAGGCUAUAUAGAGCUUAUGCUCUUUCUUUUUUGGCAUGUCUUAGUUGUAAGUUAAAUAUAAUAUGAGCUCUGGGGUAAUUCCAUUCUUAAGCAUCUCUUAUUUAUUUCUGAGUAUUGAACUCCUGUAGUAGUUGAACUAUUUCCAUGGAAACUUCUAUAUGUUAAAGAGGAUACUCGAGAUGAACACACUACUACUCGGGUCCUCAGACAAAAGCUUAACUCUCUUAUUUUGUCGAGUCUAUGAUAAUGUUUUAAAUUGCAUAUAAUUACUCACUAAUAUACUCGUGAAUAUUGUAACCCUUCUAUCACUAAGUCCCAGGCCAGGGUAUGUUCUCGUGCAUAGUUCACUACAUUAUCCAUCGAGUCCCUCACUAAAGGGCCGGGUACACUAUACGAGGAUAUGAUAAUGCAAUGACAUGAAAAACUCACUGAGUCCCUCACUAGAGGGCCAGGGUACGUAUGUAUAAAUAUAAUGAUGUGUUGCAAUAAGAUGGUGAUGGCAUCGGGCCUAUGAUGGUCCUACAGAGGUGAUUCACCGGAUCCUCGAAAGGGCCGGCUAUAUUGUAUGACUUGAGCAUGCAUGGUUUUAUGAUUCAUUGAGUAAAGGGGGGCUGCAUUUCAUGUCCGGAGGUACAUAUACAUGUUUUGGGAGUCUGUUAGCUUAGGAUUCUGUUUGGCUUAGCUGGAAGAGGCUCCAUUAUAUCGGAACCUAGUUUUUGGCACUGCCACUUAUGCAUAUCAUUAUUUUAUUUAUCCAGGGGUACGGCGGGGCCCCUGUCCCACCAUAUGUUGUCAUUAAUAUAUUUAGAAGUCUGCAGACAUGUAUAUGUAGGUUGUGUAUGUCAGUUUGGUUUAGCUGGGUCUACAUGAUGUAUGGUAUAUGUUAUUAUAUUAUGUCAGCCUUGUCGGCUUGCAUGCCCUUUCGUGUUAUGAUACAAAUGAAAGAGGCUACAGAUAUAUGAAAUGCUAUGACCCCUUGGGGGUUCUCUUGUACGUGCCAUAUUGUUUGUAGUCCGAUUUGACUACACUUGAUUUAUA